CCCUUAGAUGUUCUGGGCUGCACGCGCGCUACACUGAUGCGCUCAACGAGUUUUGACCUUGCCCGGCAGGGUUGGGUAAUCUUUUUAAAACGCAUCGUGAUGGGGAUAGAUUAUCGCAAUUAUUAAUCUUCAACGAGGAAUUCCUAGUAAGCGCGAGUCAUCAGCUCGUGCCGAUUACGUCCCUGCCCUUUGUACACACCGCCCGUCGCUCCUACCGAUUGAGUGAUCCGGUGAGUAAUUCGGACUGGAGCAGUGUUCAGUUCCUGAACGUUGCAUCGGAAAGUUUAGCAAACCUUAUCACUUAGAGGAAGGAGAAGUCGUAACA
rnacentral:rRNA from 1 species